rnacentral:rRNA from 1 species
UACGUAGGGUGCAAGCGUUAAUCGGAAUUACUGGGCGUAAAGCGUGCGCAGGCGGUUAUGUAAGACAGAUGUGAAAUGCCCGGGCUUAACCUGGGAACUGCAUUUGUGACUGCAUGGCUAGAAUCUGGCAGAGGGGGGUAGAAUUCCACGUGUAGCAGUGAAAUGCGUAGAGAUGUGGAGGAACACCCGAUGGCGAAGGCAGCCCCCUGGGUCAAGAUUGACGCUCAUGCACGAAAAGCGUGGGGGAGCAAACAGG